rnacentral:lncRNA from 1 species
UAUAGUUGUACAUAAUGGUGAGAUUUCUUGUUACAUGUUCAUACGUGCACAUGAAAGAGAUGUUUUUUCCCAUCAGUGAGCUCUUGUGAGUCACUGAUAAUGUCCCAAUGGAUAACAUAUUGCUAAUCUGUUGUUUCUUCUCCUGGGAAAUCAGGAGUCAGGGGCUAGAAAUAGGGGAGAAAUAGAGUCUACCACUCAUCAAAUAUCUGCAGAAACUUGUGGCAGAACAGUGAUGUGACCAAAACAAAAUAAAACAAAUCGACUGAUCUAGUUCCAAGCAAUAGGAGAGCGUGCUUUAAUUGCUACAAAGCCCUGGAAAGCAAAGCAGAGGGUUCAAUGUUCCCCUCCUGAGGGCUGAAGCUAUGUUUUAUUUUCCAUGAAUUCUGUGUACCCCUCAGCAACAUGAAGUGGGCACUCAACAGAUGUUCGCUGUAUUGAAAUGAAGGCAUACGUGUGUAGAAAAGGCGACCAUGUGCCUAUGUUAUCUUUCUUAUUGAGCAUUUCUGAGUCUCUGCCAAUCUCUUCUGUUCUUUGCACUUCACAAAUUGGUGACAGAAAAGCAGAUGCCCUCAUUCUUUUGUACUAUCUGUUCUAAGCCUGGAUGUCACAGUAACUUUUUUCCUUUUUUUUCCCUCCAAGUGAAGAAGUGAUGAUGUUUCUGGUAAACAAUGCACGUGUCCAUUGCCUCUAAAGAUGACAAGUCAAGUUCUGCACAGUGGCACACACCUGUAAUCCCAGCCUCCCAGGAGGCUGAAGCAGGAGGAUCAGAAACCCAAAGCCAGCCUCAGCAACUUAGAG